rnacentral:lncRNA from 1 species
GCCCGCACCUGGUGUGGCUUUGUCAAGUUCCCAUGGCCACUCUCGUGGGAAUGAUUGAUUUGGUCGGUGGGUUAUUCUCACAAUACUUAUCUCCCACUUCUAAGUUCGAAGUGGCCUUUUGACUUCGAGCAAAAGAAGUAAUUGCCUUGGUAGCUGAUCGCUGAUUCGAUUCCCUCUUCGAUGCAUCCGCAUUAUUGCACU